rnacentral:rRNA from 1 species
GACGAACGCUGGCGGCGUGCUUAACACAUGCAAGUCGAACGAAGAGCGAUGGAAGCUUGCUUCUAUCAAUCUUAGUGGCGAACGGGUGAGUAACGCGUAAUCAACCUGCCCUUCAGAGGGGGACAACAGUUGGAAACGACUGCUAAUACCGCAUACGAUCUAAUCUCGGCAUCGAGGAUAGAUGAAAGGUGGCCUCUACAUGUAAGCUAUCACUGAAGGAGGGGAUUGCGUCUGAUUAGCUAGUUGGAGGGGUAACGGCCCACCAAGGCGAUGAUCAGUAGCCGGUCUGAGAGGAUGAACGGCCACAUUGGGACUGAGACACGGCCCAGACUCCUACGGGAGGCAGCAGUGGGGAAUCUUCCGCAAUGGACGAAAGUCUGACGGAGCAACGCCGCGUGAGCGAUGACGGCCUUCGGGUUGUAAAGCUCUGGUAAUCGGGACGAAAGGCCUUCUUGCGAAUAGUGAGAAGGAUUGACGGUACCGGAAUAGAAAGCCACGGCUAACUACGUG